AAAAAAAAAGUGAUCAUGGAAAUCCUAAACAAGCAUGGGAAGAGAUUCUCACCCUGAACCCAUUUAAUAGCUGAUUGUCUGCUCAUUAGUACCUGGAUAAUUACGAUAAUAAAAAAAUUAGGGGAAAAAAGACAAUAGCGUAUGGUUUGCUUCUCUAAUUUUUUUGUAGUAAUUAGACAUGAACGUGAGGUCGUAUAUUGGAUUGGAGCGGAAGUUAGCAUCAGCGCUAUCAAUUUAAGCUCAUUACCUUUCUGUAUAUGUAAAAAAAAAUAUAGGAAGUUUGUAUUCUUUUUGUAUUUUUUUUUACAAAUACAGCAGAAAGAUCCAUAUACUUCAAUCAGUCUACCUAAUGUUGCGCUAUUUUAUCUCUCAAGUCGGCCAGGAGAUAGAGGUGUAUCUUUUUCAUAAAUUUUUCAAAUGUUUUUCUCUAAAUUAUAUAUUCAUGUAUAACAAUGUAUGAGUAAAUUUAAAGGAAAACAUAUGAAAAAUUGAAUGAAAGGGAACACACACGGAGAAUUAAUACAUUACGCAUAAGUAAUGUAUUUUUUCGAAGUAAGAAAGAAAACUAUAAUUUAUAUAUUACAGUUUUCUUUUUAAGAUGGCUGGGAUCUAUCGACAUUUUUUAUAAAAGUUAUAUUAAAAAGUAACUGUUAAUAAAAAAUGUGUUAGUUUCAUGCU